AUGGCUUUCAGAAAAAGUACAUUGAUUUUCUUGGUUAUGCUUGCUUUAUGUGGUGUUUGUUUUGGUGCUGUGUAUAGAGUUGGUGAUUCUAAUGGGUGGACUUCUAGAGGACUUGUUGACUACAACGAGUGGGCUUCAACAAAAGACUUCCAUGUUAACGAUACACUCAUAUUUGCUUACAACAAUCAAUUCCACAACGUGAUGCAAGUUACUACCCAAGAUUUUGAAUCUUGCAACCCUAACUCUCCGGUCACAGUCUAUACCUCGGGAUCUGAAAUCAUCACCUUUGAUAGGCCUGGCAACUUUUACUUUUUGUGUGGUGCUCCUGGUCAUUGUCAAGCCGGACAAAGGGUUGAGAUCAUGGCCACGCUACCUAAAUCGGAUGAUUCCUCACCUUCAGCCUCUCCGACUGAAGCGAUAUCGGCAAGCUCUGCUCUAAGUAAUGGUCCUGCACUUCAUUUUUCGAAACUUGGGUUGGGUGUCACCAUGUUUGUGUUAUCUACUCUUUUGGGUUUUGUAUUUUAG
rnacentral:lncRNA from 1 species